ensembl:lncRNA
UUUUUUUUUUUUGGCUUUAUUAGCAGCAUAACAUAAGAGUUCUUAUUCAAACCAUCUAUGUUUUCGCAAAUUGAACUCCAGUAGUGGCACUAUUUCAUCAUACCCUCCAAGGGCUAAAAGUUAAAGCAUAUUUGGUUUGAGGUAAUUAAAAAUCCAUCUAGAAUUUAUGCUUCAUGAAGCAUAUGACAUAUCCCUGUAUAAAAAAAAAUGACCUUAAGUAAAAAAUAAGAAAUCAAAUGCUCCCUCUCCAAGCAGAAAGUCACAAACUGGAGGCAGGCCAAGGAAAAGCAAAGUGACUGCUCAGGCAGGUGGAACCUAUCUGAGGGGUGGCGCCUGCCUGGCCAAGCUGAACCCACAGUCUUUCAGGGGACCAACCAGAGGUGACCAUCUAAAGAAUUUUCCACCAAACACUACCAUUUUCAGUUCUUUCUGAUUAAGGACCAAAAUGAAAGCUGUGGUAGCUAUUUCAUUUUGAUCAUUUAGAAAGCCCCAAAUAACAGCUAAGAGCUUUCUAUAAGCAUGCCAGAGGGAAAGGGAGAAAAGGAAAAUUACAGUUGAAAUUAUAUCCUUUAGAGAGCCAGUUAAGCCACUAAACUACACACAGGUCUCAAGUCUGCUAUCACCCAGAAAACUGUGGGUGAGGAAUUCAUUUUAAGACUGCUUUACAUGAACAGUAAUCCUUUUUUUAACUUUUAUAUUUAAAAUUUGGACUUUUCCCUCCCUUUUCCUUUAUACCAUGGAAGGAUGGUCUUGACCCAGGGACAUGAAGUUGGAAAUAGGAAAUCUUCCAAUCUAGGCACUGAAGAAUGUCACUAACCCCCAUAUAACCUCAGGCAAGUCAUUCUGCCUCUCUAUUCGGCCAUUUUCCCACUUACAAAAAAGCAAAGCACACUUCCUACUUCCUGUUGUGAUGAAAAAUAAAAUAACUAGAGUAAGUCGAGCUCUAAAGAGACUUUCAACGUGAUACAUGACAGUUAUACAGCCAGUUUUGAAAGUCUUAGAAAUAAUCUCUUCUAUUUAAUCUAUUUGCAACACAGAAAGAUUUCCAAUAUAAUCUAUCAAAACUAACAAAGAAAAAACUCUUGACCCUCUCAAGUCAUAGAGAAUUACUUGCUCUGGAUAGCUUAAUGUCUGAGAUGGCAGGAUUUUGUGUUUGCUUUGUAAUGUAUCUUCAGCACCUAGAACAGUGCCCAGCACGUGAUAGGUGUUCAUGACCUAUUAGAUGAAUAAAUGAAUAAAAGUUUAGUCCUCAUCAGUGUGGGAAGGCUUUUUAUUUUAGCCAUUUCGGGUGGAGAUUUCCUUAAAAUAAGUGGUAGCAUCCUGUCUUACCUUUUUGAAAAGAUUAUAAAGACCAUAAUAGCACACCAAAGGGACAAUUGGUUAGCCAGGGGAAAACUACGUAUGUCUCCCAAACACCUGUAUUUGUCUCAAACACACUAUAUAUGUCACUCAAACAUUUCUCUACAUGCAUUACAAUGUGGUCAACACAUUUAUUCCCUGAAAUAACAAAAUUCUCAACAUGGCAGUUAUGAAUGAUAAGCCAGAGGCUCUAGGGCCAACUUAUUAAGUCCUUCUGUGCCAGGCUUUCACAUACAUGCUGUGAAAAUUGAUAAAUCUUCUUAAGAAGAGAAUAGCAAAAAUGGAAGUAGUGAUUUGGAAAGAUAAAUCUAGAAGAACUAGCACUGGAGAUGAACUAGAGCAGGGGAAGCAGGAGCAAAGAGAUCACGAAGGUGACAACAGUUAUCCAGGAAUAAUGUGGUAAAAGCUCUGCCAAUUUUCAACUCUGGGUGAGAAGAGAAGAAACUUUCACUUAUUUCUGUGAACCAAGCAUAACGUUGAAGUGUUUCACAUGUAUUAUCUUGAAUAUUCUUCAUGUUAAGUCUGCAAAAGGAAUAUGUUAUUUCCAUUCUACAGAUGAGGAAAUUGAGACCAGAGAGGCUGAAAGGAAUUGUCACACAGCAUGGUAAUAGAUGGGAUGAUCUGAUUCCAAAAUCCCACUUGCACCAACUUAUGCACAGGAGACAUGACUUCACAAAAACGGAGUUCCUGUUGUGGCACAGCAGAAAUGAAUCCAACUAGUAUCCAUGAGGAUGCGGGUUCCAUCCCUGGCCUCACUCAUGGGUUAAGGAUCCAGCGUUGCCAUGAGCUGUGAUGUAGGUUGCAAAUGUGGCUUGGAUCCCACGUUGCUAUGGCUGUGGUGCAGGCCAUUGGCUACAACUCUGAUCUGACCCCCUAACCUGGAAACUCCCAUGUGCCGUGGGUGUGGCCCUAAAAAAAAAAAGACACAAAAAAGUAGAAAGUUUCAAAAUUGCCAGAGCAGAGACAUAUUUUACCCUUGCCCUAUUCUCUCAUGUAAACCGGCCCUUUAUAAGCAAUAAAGCAGGGAAAGUUUGAAUACAUAGAGAGAAUCCAUCAGACUCCUCUCUCCAAAGGGAGAUCCACUAAGAGAUGCACUCUACUCAUAACCAGAAGGCUGUUGCCUUGGAAACAGGAGCUGUAACUACUGCAAUCACACCUCGGGAGCAAAGAUGGCCAAGAUCUAUUUCAAUUCUUAGAUGCCUCGAGGAACCACAGAUGACUGUAACUAUGGAAGAGAGCCAACCUGUAGUAAUGAAGAAGCACAUGCCAGAAUUAGAAAGGCUGCAACUGAGAAAGGGAAAAGAGAGACGCGGGGACAGAGGAAGGAGAAGACAAAAUUCAAGUGCGGCAAGUAAAGCCCCAUCUAAGGAUUGCACAACUGCAAGGCUAUAGGUUUCAUUCAUUUCAGCCAACCCACCCUCUUUUCUUUCCUGUGACCCCA